rnacentral:rRNA from 1 species
UACGUAGGGCGCAAGCGUUGUCCGGAAUUAUUGGGCGUAAAGAGCUCGUAGGCGGCUUGUCACGUCGGAUGUGAAAGCCCGAGGCUUAACCUCGGGUCUGCAUUCGAUACGGGCUAGCUAGCGUGUGGUAGGGGAGAUCGGAAUUCCUGGUGUAGCGGUGAAAUGCGCAGAUAUCAGGAGGAACACCGGUGGCGAAGGCGGAUCUCUGGGCCAUUACUGACGCUGAGGAGCGAAAGCGUGGGGAGCGAACAGG